rnacentral:lncRNA from 1 species
CCUUGAUUGGCACUUGGGUUCUUCCGGUUUGGAGCUGUUUGAGAUACCGCAGUAGUGAGCACCCCUCCCUAUGCCUUCACGGUCUUUCAUGCCCCAUCUGAUCCUGUGGCUGGCUUGAGGUGGGGGACGGAGACAGCCGUGUGUCCUCCCGCAGGUGGCUGGGUGCUGGCCAGUCAUCUUCCUCUCCUGGGACAGGUGCGAUGCUGGCUUGAGUGAAGCGACUCUGGCUCUUCAGAAGUGUCUUGGCUCCUCCUAACCAUUUGUUUUUCAUCCACUCUGAGCUUUUGAGUACACCUUUACCCAUAUGCAUCCGCCUGGGAACGAUUGAUAACGUGGCAGAGCCAAGCCCUCCUGUGCACAAAUAUAUAUUAUUCUGUUAUGAAUUCUCAUGAUUUUCUGCAUACAAAACCACAUUAGCUGUGUGUAAUGAGAGUUUUAGUUCUCCCUUUCUAACCUUGGUACGUUGUCUUUCUUUUCCUUGCCUUCUGGUCACGACUAGUACCUCCAACGUGAGGCUGGGUGCAAGUGCCGUCAUUGUUUUCUUGUUCAAACUCUAGCCAGGAGUGCUCACGUCUGUCUCACUACAGAAGUCAGGGUUUUCUGGAAAUUCAUCCAUUGCAUCUGAAAUUUCCACUAUAUUUACAUUAAAUUGUUCAGAAUAUUUCCUUACAAUGUAAUGCAGUAGCACCGUUAUCAUUUUUGAUACUGUCUGGGAAUCAGUGGAGUCUGUUUCCAGGAGCUUUUCGGACCCUCGGUCCUCUGUGGUACGUUCACUUUGUAUCUGUUUCUGCUCUUUACGGGUCUUUUGCUUUCUGUUAUUUUUUUUAUAUUUAAUUUGCUAUCUUCUAAUUUCUUUCUUUGAUUUUAGCUGAGUAUUUGCACUUAAGGGUACUAAUUUCCCUCUACUCACAGCUUGAGCCACACUCUGGGAAGUUGUAAUUCAUUGAGUUUCAAUCACUUAAAAGAUUUUCUAAUUUUUGUGAUGAUUUCUGUUUUGAACCAUGAAUUAUUUAGAAGUAUGUUGAUGAAUUUCUGACAUAGUGGAUUUUCUAGUUUCUAGUGUAAUUCCUCAAGGUCAGAAGACAAUCUUACGUGACUUCAGCCCCUAAAAUUAAUUGAGCCCCCCCCCCCCCCGUGGCCCAGUGUGUCACAAAUGUUUACAAACAUUCUUUAUGCUCUUGGAAAGAAAGUGUGUCCUGUGCUUAGUGCCCUGAGUGUGUUGAGCUCUUCUGUUCCCUUCCGUCCUGUGUCCACUAACUCUGUGAAAGGUACAUUGGAACCUCCCUCUGUAGUCAUGGUACACACACAUCAAGGUUACUUUGCCUUCCAUCAGAAGAUGUGGUCACUUAGUGUGACCACAAGUGUCUAUGCAGCAGGGUUCACUUGUAUCUUAGGAAACAGAUGAAGCCCCAUGCCCCGUUAGUAUGAUCUAAGUGUCAGUGCAUUCAGAAUGUGGGAAGCAUUGGCAUGGACUCAGAGCCCCUGUCCUCCNAGUAGCUGCAUAGA